CGGGUGAAUUGUUGCUGGCAAGGCAAACGAAGCACCGCGCCGUACGCUGGCCCCGUUGUGCGGCAGAGGAAGGGGUGUAGCAGCAGUUAGGGGUUAAGGGUUUAGUGCGCGAGGCUGCUGGUUUGGGAUUGGAGCCUAGGGGCCUUCGUGCGGUUUAAGCGGUUGGGAGGGGAGUCUAACCCGUACGGUCGGGGGGCUUUGAGGUCGGGCACUGGAGCGGCCUCUGCUACCGGAGCGACGGCGGCGUAGGGGCGGCCUAAGCCGGGUAGCGGCACCGGAGGGACCACGAGAAGGAGGAGAAGGAGAUGUGGGCGAGCCUACCCUUGGGAGGCGCCGAGGGCCCGAGGCUAAGCGCGGGCGAGGUGGCCUCCGAGGAGAGGCCACGGCUAGGGCGGUCGGGGCGGCGCAGGUCUCCGCCCUUGGAAAGCCUCCAGUGGCCCGACUUGCCGCUCGUCGACCUCUUGGGGAGGUGGCGCACGCGGCCGUAGCUGGCGGUGCUCCCAAAGCCCAGGGUCACGCUCAAGGAGGCCCGAGUGGGCGUCACGUCGAGGCCGCCCAAGCAGCUGAUGGACCUGAAGAAGAUGACGUCGGAUCUCUUCUACAGACGCGACGACGCCGAUGGCGGCUGUCACCGACCACAAUGGGACGAGGGGAAACCAUUACCACGAGGACUACACAAACGGUCGUAACGUCGCAAAUACCCCAGACCGCGGCCCCUACAGCCCGACUUGUCGCACGACCCGCCUCGCCACAAACAAUGGACGCAGCAACAACCCCGUCAUAGUAACAGGCAGCGCCUCUUCUUACACGUCUAACUAACCUCCACGAAACACUCCCUACAACCUAAGAAGGACUAGUGAAACCACCGUGACAGAUAAUACAACUAACAGCCCUUCCACUGGCAAACCCCUCGAUACGACAAACAUAGCUAAAUACACCAAAUACGUAAACACCACCGACGUUUACUCAAUAAUUCCUUCGUACGUGCCUACGACUUCAAACUACAUCAGUGUGGUAACGAAGGCCACUCCCCUUCAUAGAAGAGUGUGCCUGAUCUCCUACUACUAAGACACAUGUCAAGUGAAGAACUCCUCCUAUGUUCACUACUGCGCCGGGUCCAUUUGUGUAGUAACGGCGUCACCUACACCCGAAGAGUACACCGAUAGAUGAGUUUAGUUCCCUCUCUACCAAGUGGACUGUCCGGAAACACCCCAACCUUACUUCUUCCUUCUCACCUAUGGAGGUGCGAAUUGAUGAGGUUUGACAAAGACAAAAACCUCGAUGGGAACUGUUAUGGUUCUUUCAACUGCUAAGGUUAUCAACUCCUUCUGGCGACCAGUGUUCUUAUACGACAACGGUCACGACCGAACCGUGGAGAUGAGAAUCGUAAAGACACCUUGUCGGUCCUACCUCAUAGGUGCCCACGGUCGCAUCGUCGUAUACACUAACGACCAUAAAAACCCUAACGUGAACGUCCAGAACGAAAAUGUAAGUGGUCAGGGCUGGCGGGAGGUUCCUCUAUGAAUGAGGGUACCCACAAACCUCCCAAACACUACUCGUAGCAAACCAAGAUGUAGUAACGGUUACUCGACCAACGUGACAACCAACGUAAACCUCACUAUGAACCCUAAUUAGGAAGUUAAGAGCCAAAUUGCCACAAUCGUACCCCGUUAAGCUACCCACUGAAUUACAGUUUACACCGGAACCGUUACUUACCACCUCUACCACAUGUCUAACGAUACAGACCGACAAUACGUCCUGGAUACAAAUUAUGUGAACGACCGGAUCCUUAUAGCUACGAUGAACCUCGAACCAGCUGCCGUGGGUUGAGAAUACAAGAAGGCGUCCUGGCGAGAGAAUAAAUGUGCUACUCGAAGGACCAACGACCCAACUAGACCCGCGAACAAUGCGACGGUGCUUCGCCGUACGCUGGAUUGUUCUGCGAACCUCAACCGGAGUAACGAGAGAUGAGUCAAAAGGAAAAGUAAUCUCAUUCGUCACGAUACCCCUAUAACGGUGAGGGCCCGAACUUAAUCAACAAACACAGAUAACAUGUACUGACAGGAAAUAUGUCUACUUUACCUCAACAUGUAACAAGGAGACAAGACAACAAUACGGAGUCUAAGCCAGCAUACGGACAGUCCGAAAGAUCUGUUAUUUCGGUCUCGUACGGACGUUGACCAGAUGAAUAGACAUUCGAAUUAGCGGAAAGUACGACUAUCGUUAUUAAAA
rnacentral:rRNA from 1 species